GCCUGAGUGGCUCAGUUAGUUGAGCAUCUGACUUUUGAUUUUAGCUCAGAUCAUGAUCCCACGGUCGUGGGACCAAGCCCCUCAUCAGGCU
rnacentral:tRNA from 1 species